AGGAGGUGUGAGUGACUGGCUGUAGUGGGCACGCGGAGAGGUAGAGGAAGACCUAAGAAGUAUUGGGGAGAGGUGAUCAGACAGGACAUGGCGCGACUUAGGAUUACUGAGGACAUGGCCCUUGAUAGGGAAUUAUGGAGGUCGAGCAUUAAGGUUGUAGGUUAGGGGAAAGUGUGAAUAUUUCUACAGCACAAUAGAGUGAGACUAUCCAGUUAGGAGUUAGACUAGGAAUGUCAUUGGUCGUCUAUUGAUGCAGGGCUUUACCUUCUAGUUGUACUAUACCAGCCAUCUAUUUCGUAUUUCGUAUUUUAUAUUCUGUAUUUCAUAUUUCAUAUCUCUUAUAUAUUGUUGUUAUUUUUAUUACGCAUUUUUAUGGUACUAAUAUAUCAUCUCCUAUUACUUUUUUGAGCCGAGGGUCUCCUGGAAACAGUCUCUCUACCCUUCGGGGUAGAGGUAAGGUCUGCAUACAUAUUACCCUCCCCAGACCCUAUUUGUGGGAUUUUACUGGGUCGUUGUUGUUGUUGUUGUUGGAGUAUGAAGUAGAGCACCGAGGAUUGAUAAAGAUUGUAUGAAGUUGCAAGACACUAAUGGUCCAGAAAAAGGACGGGAAAAUAGCACAGAUAUCCAACAACUUUAAGAAGCAGACAAGAGGAAUAGAGAUGUAAGGACAUGUAUAAGAGGAUACCUAAGCCAAGGAAGUAGCUUAAUUUUUUUAUUUUUUUAUUCCCUGUUUAUUGGCAUCCACUGAUACAAUGUGUGUUCAACAAUAAAUUAUAGUUUUUUGUCUUAUUGGAAAUUCUCAUUCACCCAUCAUUAAGCCUAAUUUGUCUUAUUUUCUAGUGAUAUGUCCAUGUCUUAUUAUCAACAUAUGUUAUCUUCACCUAUACUUUCUUAUUAUUCUCCACUUUUAUGCAAUUUUAUUGGAAUAUCCUUUAAGUUUGUAUCUUAUUAAGAUAUUUUAUCCAAAAGUACAAGUGACGGAUAGAUCUUUCCAUCUUGCAUACUUGACUGAUUGAUUCACUUGGUUACUUCUUGAUAAUUGGUUUGUGCUCCUGUUAGUUCAGUAACGAAUGCAUAUGGAUUAUCAGGUUUGUAUAUUUAUCAAUGGAAAAUAUUAUUGCAUUCAUAAAUACACUUUGUUUUAACAUAGAUAUAGCAUGUAUUAAAACAUUCUUCCAUGAUGAUUACUUUCAACUUUUACAAAUUAAAACUAUUACAGGAACCUAGAAAAAGGAUUAUUUUCAAGGUCAUGAAAGAGUACUCAAAGGUCCUCCUCCAUCACUUCAAGUGGCAAAGGCCGUGAACUAUUUAACUUGGUACCCUUUUUUUAUCCAUCAAGGCCUCUACAUGCUGCUCUUUACUUCCUUUUUUGGGUGUAAGUUAUUUUUUUCAUAUUUAUGUUUAUCAUUGUGAUUAUUGAUGGUAAGGCCCAGCUCUCUUUGCAUUCAGUUUUUUAAAUUAAUUGGUGUGUUUGCUUUUGUGCUUUUAAUUUAUUUCAUCACUUUCAAGCUGUAGUUACAAGUUCAAAGAUCAGUUGAUAUUUUUUUAAUAUUCUGGAACAUAUGAUGACUAAUAGCUUGUUUGGCCAACUACAAAAAUCAGCUUAUUUUGAGAAGUGUUUUUCUCAAAAGUGCUUUUUUCAAAAGUACUUUUUGGUGAGAAUUAGUUUGUGUUUGGCUAAUUAAUUUGAAAAGUACUUCUGAGCAGCAUUUAGUGUUUGGCCAAGCUUUUAAAAAACCGCUUCUAAGUGUAUUUUUCUUAAAAGUGCUUUUCAAAAAAGUGCUUUUGGAGAGAAGCUACUUUUUUCUGCUUCUCCAAAACUGCUUCUGCUUCUUCCCAAAAGCACUUUUCUUUCUUCUAAAAGCUUGGUCAAACACUUUUAACUUUGAAAAAAAAGUACUCCUUUUAAAAAAAAAAGUGCUUUUGACUUUGGAGAAGCACAGGCGAUAAGUCUAGCAUUCAAAAACUUUCCUCGUAUUUAGAAAAGGUAGUAUUGUAAUGCAUGAAAUAACUGGUGAUCGAGGAUGUUUUAUAUUCAUACUUUGAAAGCUCUAGCUUUGAUAUUGCCUAUUAUUUGUGACUACAAGAGUUGCUUUAAUUUUUAUUUGGCUGAAUAGGUAGGGUGAUUUAUGAUACAAUAACAUGUAGUAGUAUGUACACUUUCGGAAAUAAGUACUUCGUAAAAUUGUAAUAUUGUUAGGUAUUGAGUUUUAUUUGUGAAUUGAAGUGUAUAACUCUUUCGCACACUGUAUUAAUACCAUGAGAUAUUUUUCCGUUCUAUGAGUUUAUCUACUAAGAUUAAGGACAAAUAAAAUAAGAAAUCAAGGAUUAGUUUACAUAAAUAUUGUAGUGUAUUUGGUAACCGUGACAUGGUAUAACUUUUUUUGUUUCCUUGAUUAUAAGUCUUUGCAAAUUAAAUAUAAUGUACUACAAAUGUAUUUAUAAAAAAGUGCAAUUUAUGCAAAAAGGGUGACAGGAACAAACCAAAAUUUUGAGGAAAAAAACAUAUUACCUAGGCUGAGUGCCAUUUCAAACAUAAGGUGCUCUUGCAGAUAAAAUAACACAAAAACGUCAUUACUGUUACUUGGUUGAUCAACCAUCAGAAGUUUGUUGAUUGACCGCUGUUUGGGAAGUUCUAGAAUAAGUACCAUCUUGAGCUAACUAUCUUGAACACAAUUUUAUGUUUGAUUAUAUCUUCUUCAGUAUUUCGUGAACUCUAAAUUAUUUUCAUUGUUGACUCUGGUAGAAAUUGAUUAUUCAUCAAUGGGAGAUUUAAAAGAACCCCAUGACUGAGGUAUAUGUAUUAGAUCUUGAGAACUACCAGCUUACUCAACAUAUUUAGAUAUAAAGAACGUGUUUUAUUGUAAUUGUCUUGAAGAGUUUGUACUUGAAUUAAACCAUCUACUUAGUUUCUUUUCGAUAUUUGACUUAUGGAACUUCAGUUUGAUACUUUAUGUGAUAAAUACAGUCAAUAAAUCAAUCUAUCUAUGUCUUGAAACAGAGAAGAAACUUUCCAAUUAAGGUUUGUGAAGAAAAUGAGAAAAGCAAAGUGGAUCACUUUUUUAUAUCUUCCUUUUCGUGUAAUAGAAAAUUUUAUUAUUGACAAAGACCACACUAAGAUAAUGCUGAGAUGACAUAAAAGAAAUACUAAUAUCAGUCCAUAUUUAUUCUUGCAGUGAUGACAAAAAAUAUAUCAAUGUAUUUACUUCAUAUCUUUAUAUAUUCUUUAUAAGAAAUGAACUUUUUGUGUCAUUUAAUAGUCAUAUGAUAUUAAUGUAUCUUUUUCUUUUAUAUGAGGGCAAGUAAAAUGUAUUGACCAACUUUUCUGGACAUCAUUUGCAUUUUAUAUAAGUUGUCAACAUUAGCUUAUCAAAGAAAACAUAAGGCUUAGCAUUUUUUCGAUUUUUUCGUUAAUUAUUAGGUGGUUAAAUCUUAAUGAUAGGAAGAUCCUAUACUGUUUUGAUAAAAUAUUAUAUUUGAUGUAUCUUUAGAUUGUAGUAAGAAUGUCUUGCUAUAAAAGGCUAUAACUUGACUCUUGAGUAUAGUAUUUUUGAGUAGUUUAUUUGUGGAGAUCGCACACAUCUCUUUAUGUCGUGAUAUUUUUCAAUUCUUUCUAUCAUUUAAUGUUUUCUAUCUCUAAAUAUUUGACUUCUUAUUCUCUACUUGGAACAGGACAAGAAGUUGUUUGAAGAACACAUAGUAGCAGAUGUAUGAAUGCAAUACACAAAAUAUUUGCCAUAUUCUAUGUGGCUCUUAGUUGGAUUAUGUUAUCUCUUUUGUUUAUAGUACAAACACGGAUAGCAACUGAUAUAUUUAGUUGAUCACGUAGCAUAAGAUAGUGGGUAGAAAACGAUGAAGAAAUAAGGCGUAUACUUGAGUUUGAUUUUGUAAGUAUAUUUAAAGGAAGUGGAAGAAAAGGAAAUAUUUGCUCAAUUUUGAUAACUCUAGGGAAGCAAUAUAUAUUGUUCUAUAUUUGUCACUAUUUUCCAAGG
rnacentral:lncRNA from 1 species